UACGUAGGGUGCGAGCGUUUAAUCGGAAUUACUGGGCGUAAAGCGUGCGCAGGCGGUUCGUCAAGUCUUGUGUGAAAGCCCCGGGCUCAACCUGGGAAUGGCAUGGGGAAACUGGCGAGCUGGAGUGCGGGAGAGGGAUGCGGAAUUCCAGGUGUAGCGGUGAAAUGCGUAGAUAUCUGGAGGAACACCGGUGGCGAAGGCGGCAUCCUGGACCAACACUGACACUGAGGAGCGAAAGCCAGGGGAGCAAACGGG
rnacentral:rRNA from 1 species